rnacentral:piRNA from 1 species
UAGGUCCGGUUGUGGAAUAUC